GAUAUACUCCCUCCGUCCGGAAUUACUUGUCCCACAAAUGGAUAAAAAUAGGAUGUAGUAUAUAGAACUAAAAUACAUCUAGAUAUAUCGAUUCUUAUGACAAGUAUUUGGACGGAGGGAGUAGUAC
rnacentral:pre_miRNA from 1 species